rnacentral:rRNA from 1 species
AUUGAACGCUGGCGGCAUGCUUUACACAUGCAAGUCGAACGGUAACAGGCCUUCGGGUGCUGACGAGUGGCGAACGGGUGAGUAAUGCAUCGGAACGUGCCCAGAGGUGGGGGAUAACGCAGCGAAAGCUGUGCUAAUACCGCAUGUGAUCUGAGGAUGAAAGCGGGGGACCAGGCAGCAAUGUUUGGCCUCGCGCCUUUGGAGCGGCCGAUGUCAGAUUAGGUAGUUGGUGGGGCAAAGGCCUACCAAGCCGACGAUCUGUAGCUGGUCUGAGAGGACGACCAGCCACACUGGGACUGAGACACGGCCCAGACUCCUACGGGAGGCAGCAGUGGGGAAUUUUGGACAAUGGGCGCAAGCCUGAUCCAGCAAUGCCGCGUGCGGGAAGAAGGCCUUCGGGUUGUAAACCGCUUUUGUACGGAACGAAAAGGCUCUGGCUAAUACCUGGGGCUGAUGACGGUACCGUAAGAAUAAGCACCGGCUAACUACGUG